rnacentral:lncRNA from 1 species
CUUUCUCCCCACCUAGGGCUGCUCCAGUUGCUGUCAGCUCCUCCCGAGUCUGGCUCCACGCCGCCCCUGCCAGGGUCUUUGUGUUCCAAGCUCGCCUCUCUGCUAGCAGGGGAGGACUGUGCUGGGAGGAUUUGGGGCACGAAGGAGCCCAGGUUGAAUGUCAAAGCUUAGAGAUCACAGGAACCUGAGCCCUCGGACAGAAUGGUCUUACCCACAGCGAUCCAGGCCAGAGGGGCAGAGCAAAAAGUAGACCGGGGUCUCCUGACUUCCCAGCCAGGACACUUCCCAUGACAUCCUGACGUGUGCCCAGAGGCGGCCUGGCGCUCCCUGCAUGUGCCCGGGGAACAGCCAGCUCCCCACCUCACGCCUGCGCCAUCACUGGGCAUUCGGGUUGUUUCUCCUUUGAUUGUUUAUGAUUGAAGAUGACAUGGCUGUAAACAUCUAACAUCUGAGUUUAAAUGGCUUCUUUUGGAUUGUUUUUCCUCAGGCUAAUGUCCUCAGAGUAGAAUUACUGGGUCAAGAAGUACAGACAGUGUUGUAGCUGGAAGUGAGCUAGAUGUAGCAACUCUCCCACAGAAGGGAACCUCUUAUUUGCCAGAAACCGUAAGAUGUCUGGCGAUGGUGUUGGAAGCAGGUCAGGGAGUGGAAAGAGGGCCCGGGGCUGAAUCUUCAAGCGGGCAGUGGGAGACAG